AUGUGUGGAAGCUUGAUGAGGGAGCGGGUCAAACGAAUCAAGAAGGAAAGGAAAAGCGUAGUUCGGAUGCGAGGUAAGUAUAACUUACGCCCCUUUUACAUUAUUUGCGAAGUUACCAAUUUCAGGUAUUAAUAUGAAUGCUACUAAAUGGUUGGUAUAUGAUAUUUCGACAUGAUUCAAUGAGAGUCGGAAUGAUGGAAAAUGGUAUGAAAUCAUGACUAUAGUAAAAGGAAUAAAAUGGUAAAUUAGUCAUGUAAUGACAAAUAAAUAAAAACGGUUUGAGUGAAACAAGUUCAAAGGAAAACCUGAAAAGGGUUUAAGGGGAUGAAAUGGUAAUUAAAUACCAUCUCAUACGGACAAAUAGUCGGUUAGACUAAAUGGGUCAAAUCGUGUUGUUAACACCAUUUGACAAUAACAUUUGACAAUUAUUUGUUGAGUUUUGUAAUCACAGGAAAUAACAUGAGCUUGCAUCGCUUUAACUAAAAAGAUUUAAAGCAAAAGUUAUGUAAAUGGGUCAAUACUUUGAUCCGAGCCAGGUACUUUUUGGACGCCGGAAGACGAUCAAGCUCAACGAAGAACCGAACACGAUAAAGACACAUGCUUCCGCACAUCGCCUCGUUGUAAAUUUUUAACGACGAACCCGAUCACGUUAUGUAGAAUAACUUAUGAUUUGUAAAAGUUUUAAUAAACCCGUAUUUCCGAUGUAUAUGUAAUCUUAAUCACAUGAUUGUUUUCGUAAAAUAUACGUUAAACCAUGGAUUAUAAGAACGGGUGUUAC
rnacentral:lncRNA from 1 species